rnacentral:tRNA from 1 species
GCCCAGGUGGUGGAAUUGGUAGACACGCCACUUUGAGGGGGUGGUGUCCGACGGAUGUGCAAGUUCAAGUCUUGUCCUGGGUA